rnacentral:rRNA from 1 species
UACGUAGGGAGCAAGCGUUGUCCGGAAUCAUUGGGCGUAAAGCGCGCGUAGGUGGCCUCAUAAGUCCGCUGUGAAAGUCAAAGGCUCAACCUUUGAAAGCCGGUGGAUACUGUGAGGCUAGAGUACGGAAGAGGCGAGUGGAAUUCCUGGUGUAGCGGUGAAAUGCGCAGAUAUCAGGAGGAACACCAAUGGCGAAGGCAGCUCGCUGGGACGGUACUGACGCUGAGACGCGAAAGCGUGGGGAGCAAACAGG